CGAGUGGCGCACGGGUGCGUAACGCGUAUACAAUCUACCUUUUACAGGGGGAUAGCCCAGAGAAAUUUGGAUUAAUACCCCAUGGCAUCCCGCCCCCGCAUGGGGCGCGGGAUUAAAGAUUCAUCGGUAAGAGAUGAGUAUGCGUUCUAUUAGCUAGUAGGUGCGGUAACGGCGCACCUAGGCUACGAUAGAUAGGGGCCCUGAGAGGGGGAUCCCCCACACUGGUACUGAGACACGGACCAG
rnacentral:rRNA from 1 species